CCUACGGGAGGCAGCAGUGGGGAAUAUUGCACAAUGGGGGAAACCCUGAUGCAGCGACGCCGCGUGAGUGAUGAAGUUUUUCGGUAUGUAAAGCCCUAUCAGCAGGGAAGAAAAUGACGGUAUCUGACUAAGAAGCCCCGGCUAACUACGUGCCAGCAGCCGCGGUAAUACGGAGGGGGCAAGCGUUACCCGGAUUUACUGGGCGUAAAGGGAGCGUAGACGGGAGCACAAGUCUGAAGUGAAAUGCCGUGGCUUAACCCCAGAACUGCUUUGGAAACUGUGCAGCUAGAGUGCGGGAGAGGUAAGUGGAAUUCCUGGUGUAGCGGUGAAAUCCGUAGAGAUUAAGAGGAACACCAGUGGCGAAGGCGGCUUACUGGACUGUAACUGACGUUGAGGCGCGAAAGCGUGGGGAGCAAACAGGAUUAGAUACCCUUGUAGUC
rnacentral:rRNA from 1 species